GACGAACUGUCCUAACGUUGUUCGGAAUCACUGGGCUUAAAGGGCGCGUAGGCGGUCGACCAAGUCAGGGGUGAAAGCCCGGAGCUCAACUCCGGAACUGCCAUUGAAACUGUUAGACUUGAGGAUGAGAGAGGUGAGUGGAAUUCCCAGUGUAGAGGUGAAAUUCGUAGAUAUUGGGAAGAACACCGGUGGCGAAGGCGGCUCACUGGCUCAUUUCUGACGCUCAGGCGCGACAGCGUGGGGAUCAAACAGG
rnacentral:rRNA from 1 species